AUACGGAAGGCCCGGGCGUUAUCCGGAUUUAUUGGGUUUAAAGGGAGCGCAGGCGGAGAUGCAAGCGUGACGUCAAAUUUCGGGGCUCAACCCCGUCUCGCGUCGCGAACUGCGUCCCUUGGUUGCGGGAAGGGGAGGCGGAACUCGUGGUGUAGCGGUGAAAUGCAUAGAUAUCACGAAGAACUCCGAUCGCGAAGGCAGCCUUCCGGCCCGUCAACGACGCUCAUGCUCGAAGGUGCGGGUAUCAAACAGGAUUAGAUACCCUGGUAGUCCGCACAGUAAACGAUGGACACCCGCGGUUUGGCCUGUAUGGCUGAGCCGCCAAGCGAAAGCGUUAAGUGUCCCACCUGGGGAGUACGCCGGCAACGGUGAAACUCAAAUGAAUUGACGGGG
rnacentral:rRNA from 1 species